rnacentral:tRNA from 1 species
GCCCGGAUGGUGAAACUGGUAGACACAUCGGACUUAAAAUCCGCCGACUGUAAAAGGUCAUACCGGUUCGAUUCCGGUUCCGGGCACCA